rnacentral:rRNA from 1 species
AUUGAACGCUGGCGGCAUGCCUAACACAUGCAAGUCGAACGGUAACGACGGGAGCUUGCUCCCGGGCGACGAGUGGCGGACGGGUGAGUAAUACCUAGGAAUCUGCCCAGUAGUGGGGGGACAACUCGAGGAAACUCGAGCUAAUACCGCAUACGCCCUACGGGGGAAAGCGGGGGAUCUUCGGACCUCGCGCUAUUGGAUGAGCCUAAGUCGGAUUAGCUUGUAGGUAGGGUAACGGCCUACCUAGGCGACGAUCCGUAGCUGGUCUGAGAGGACGAUCAGCCACACUGGGACUGAGACACGGCCCAGACUCCUACGGGAGGCAGCAGUGGGGAAUAUUGGACAAUGGGCGCAAGCCUGAUCCAGCCAUACCGCGUGGGUGAAGAAGGCCUUCGGGUUGUAAAGCCCUUUCAGUGGGGAAGAAAAGCUUGAGAUUAAUACCCUCGAGUCUUGACGGUACCUAAAGAAGAAGCACCGGCUAAUUCCGUG